rnacentral:lncRNA from 1 species
UUCGGGUAUAGGUUGAUCAAAACAAAAAUGGGCUCCACCACAAAUUUGAUAUUCCUGACUCAUAGUCAGGCAGAUAUGUACUCUUGGUUAAUUUUCCAGGAACACAAAUGGGCUCUGUUGAGUCAUUUGCAUGUUGACUCCACUGUUUGGAAUCAUUACAGUGAGGCAGUAGGCUCAAAUACAGGGUGGUUGAUGACGAUCAUGAAACAGAAUGGACUAAUUUAUAGUGCUAAGUGACUGAGAUGUUGUAGGACAAGUUCUAGAUAUUUUGUUAUACUACAUAAAUGAAACCAAUUUGGGCCUGGGUAGUAAAAUUUCACUAAUAGGUAAUUAUUACUGUAGAGGAGAAUUUUGGGUUUGUGGUUGGAAUUAUGUGAAUCUCAGCAAUUUCAAUUAAUAACAUGAUUAAACUGAUAUCUUAGGUUCUUUGAAAUAUGUCGAAUCUCUAUAAAAAGAUAAAAUUUGGAUUGUUAGGUCCUUGGGGAGUUUCCACCAAGGAUUUGGAAAAAUAUAUUUACAGACUUUUGGUUUUUCGUUUGUUUUUAACUUCAAAUUCAAGUCAUACUCAGAAAGCCUAGGAAACACUUGCUUUUAUUUUCUUACCUGGAUAUGUCAGAACCUUAAAGAGUCCAAACACUGUAAAAGUACAAAUGAUCUAAAAUGAGUUAAUACACAUGGCCGACAGAGUGCAUUCACUUUCACAAACACACCCAAGUCUUGCUUGUCAAAAAAUUCCAAGGUUUGUACAUCUGAGCCUGAGCUCAGAGUUGGAACCUUUACUUUGUUUUUAUAUUCUUACAACAGGUUUGCUUCCUCAGGUGCCCCUCUGGUUAUCUAUUUGUUGUACCCAUAGCUCUUUAAACAUCGUAAGCAACUUCUAGAACACAGUUUCCUUUCAAAGUGCCUGGUGACAUCUGAAGCUAGUGUGUCCUAAGAAUUUGAAGAAACUGUAUGGCUUUCUUGCUAGUAUUGAUCUAUCACAUAUGCCUAUUUUCUUUCCAUGAGAAUGUGUCUUGAGUACUUUAAAGCUACAGUAACAGGUCACUAUUUCACUGAAGAAGAAAGCAUCAUGUUGUCCAUUGUACUCUAAGGAUUAUUUUUUUCCUUUUUUUUUUUUGUUAUUGUUAUACUGGUGGUCAAACCCAGGACCUCAUGCAUGCUAGGCAAUCACUCCACAUCCUUAGCCUUCUACUCUGUUUUUUGUGCUGUUUGACUCCUGAGGUACAUAUGACCACAAAGACUACACAUAGACCACAAAGAUUUUGGAAGGUUAUGAUAUGUUUUUGCAAUCUGUGUAUUUUCCAGAUAGAGUGGUUCACUCUACCUGAUCUGCUUCUAUGAAGCCUAAUCUAUUGGGGAUAGGGAGGCAAAGCUAUGGAGUUUAAGGAGAAAUCAGCUAAACCCUUGUUCCAGUGCCCCAACUCCACCCAUGAACUCCUGAGAAGUUUUUUUUUUUUUUAAACCUAAAAUAAAGAGCAGCAGAGGUAAACGUGUUAGUUUGUUUGCAUGGUAAAUGAUAUAUCCUGGAACCUGUUAUCUUUUCUAAAGGUAAUUGUCAGUGAGAAUCUUUUUUUUUAUUCAUUAUUCUCAUAUAUUGCAUCCCAACUGUAUUUUCCACUUCCUCCUCUCCUCUCAGUCCCUCACUCCUCCCUUCUCCUUCCCCAUCCACUCAUCCUUUUCCCUUUAGAAAAGGCAGGCCUCCCAGGCAUAUCAAUGUAGCAUGGCAUAUUAAGUUUCAAUAAGACUAGUCACCUUCCCUCAUAUUAAGGCAGCCCACUAGGAGGAAGGGGAUGCCAAAAGUGACAGAGCUCCCCACUCCCUCUGAUGGGAGUUCCACAAAAACAGGUCACUCGGUGGGGAAUGUUUUAAUUGGCUAAGAGCAGUUUACCACCAGUGAACUACUUCUGGGAAGCAUAGACUGAUGGACAAUGACAUUUCUAGUAGCCAGUGUUUUUAAGCGCAGCCUAGACUAGAGAAUUCCAGGAAGUGUGGCAGAAUAUCUCAUUUUAAUCACCUGCUCUGGUAACAUCUGUGCAGCAAGCCAUGUGGCUAACAGAAACAAUCUUUUUAGUUGGGUAGAAAACACUAUUGUUCUUCCAAGGGAAGGACAUUGUCCUCAGUGCCCAUCACAGCCAUUUUUAAUCACUCCGCUGUUGUCCAAUCAGAGUGCUGCACCUGCUCAUCAUUUCAGGGAGUCCAGUGGCUCCCUACUUCUGGGGCUAGUUUAUACAGAAGGUGUGUGUGUGUGCUCUUCUGCUUUCUACAGCUCUCUUCUGCCUUUCUCUCCCAAGGAACAUUUUCCUUUGAAAGUUUGAUUUCAAUCACUUUUAUGGGAAAUAUAGUGUGUGGAAUGUCUGAAUGGUGGCAAGACUCAAGAGAAGGCAGACGAGCCUACUCCCAUGUUAAAGGGGGAAAUAUGACCUUUUCCUGGACACUGCUAGCAUGUGAAUGUCUGCUCACCUAGCUGGUACUAUGGAUGUCUGGACUCUUGUUACUGGCCAAGCCUUAGUAAAAGUGUGCUUAUCUUUUCCUAAAAGCAGGGGGUAUUUUAGUAUGAAUAUUUUUGUUGGAUUUUCACCUAACUGAAUUCAUUUUUAACUUUUUUUUUCAUCAAAUCUCAAACUUUUUUAAGAGCUUAGAAUAAAGCUGAGUUCAGCUUCUAGUGAAAUAAGGGCUGAAGAUAUAGGGCUCAGUCAGUAGUGUAGAGCAUUUGCUUCACAUGCUCAAGGCACUGAUUUCAGUUCCAUCCUUACAAAAAAAUAAAUAAAUAAAAUUGCAGGUAGGUAAAACUAGUCUUGAGAAGUUGUGACUUUGCAGGCCUUCUUAUAAACAAGGCACUGGUUUGAGUUUUUUUAUUAGGCUGAUAUCCAAAAAACAAUUAACUUUGGGAUUUCAAACUGUUCCAUGACUUAAUUCUAUGAUUUAAGGAAAUUAUAGAAAUGAAGAGGUUUUGCUGAGCCUUAAAAGAGAACUGUAAGCAUCGUCUAGGUAAAUAGCAUACAGCUGCAAAGGACUUGGUUGCUGUUGCCUUUCCUCUGGAUUCAACCCCAUGAGUGACUAUAAUAGACUUAAGUUGUAUAGUAUAAGCUUUUCUUUUAGUGUAAAGAUAAAAGUGUUAUUGCUGGGAGAGCCAGGUAUCUAAAAUUAGGUAUUUAGGUAGCUAAGGCUUUAACUAGGAAACGAUGGUUAGCUUGGUGGCAACAGCCUUAUUUGAACAUGUGUGCAAAAAAAAAACAA